rnacentral:rRNA from 1 species
GAUCUCGGAAGUGAAGCAGGGUCGGGCCUGCUUAGUACUUGUGUGGGAGACCACCUAGGAAGACCAGGUGUUCUACGUG